ACCUGUAGUUGCAGGGGAGUUCCAGCUUAGGCAACAGAGGGCGUAAUUAGGCAUUAUUGGUGACACCUGAGCUGUUGCCUUUAAAAGCUGAGAGGAUCUGGUCUUUUGGUCUCUCCUUCCUUCCUCUACCACGGACGACUCAAUAUGGUUUCUUCUGCGAAAGACAACAUCCUUUACUGACUCCUACUCAACCAUCACCACCCACACUACUGACCUACAUCACACACUCUACACACCUCAUGUAUUUUACACCGAGCGGAGCAGAUGCUGAGACGGAAGAGCAAAGACAUAAUUCACAAAAAUGCUUCUAGCACAAACCAAAUGUCUCCCCAUGGGACAUUUUACUGACACCAGCCAAUCCUUCACCUACCCGAGCCAAUCGAAAUCUCACAUACACACGCAAA